UUACGGCCGUAUCACGUUGAAACACCUGUUCCCCUGCGAUCACCGGGAAAGUUAAGCAACGUUGUGCCAGAUCAGUACCAAGAUAGAUGACUGCUUGGCAAUACAAGGUCCUGUAUG